rnacentral:rRNA from 1 species
AAAUCCAAAGAAGGCCUAUCAGUAUCCUGAGUAGGGCGGGACACGUGAAAUCCCGCUUGAAUCCGCGAGGACCAUCUCGCAAGGCUAAAUACUAACCAGUGACCGAUAGUGAACCAGUACCGUGAGGGAAAGGUGAAAAGAACCCCGGGAGGGGAGUGAAAGAGAACCUGAAACCGUGUGCCUACAAGUAGUCAGAGCCCGUUAACGGGUAAUGGCGUGCCUUUUGUAGAAUGAACCGGCGAGUUGCGUUAGUCAGCAAGGUUAAGUCAGAAAAGACGGAGCCGCAGCGAAAGCGAGUCUGAAGAGGGCGAGCAGUUGGCUGACGCAGACCCGAAACCAAGUGACCUACCCAUGACCAGGUUGAAGGCGCGGUAAAACGCGCUGGAGGACCGAACCCACGUAAGUUGAAAAUUGCGGGGAUGAGUUGUGGGUAGCGGUGAAAUUCCAAACGAACUUGGAGAUAGCUGGUUCUCUCCGAAAUAGCUUUAGGGCUAGCCUCGCAAAGAGGAUGCUGGAGGUAGAGCUCUGUUUGGACUAGGGGCCCGUCAAGGGUUACUGAAUUCAGAUAAACUGCGAAUUCCAGACAUUUAUGUGCGGGAGUCAGACUGCGAGUGAUAAGAUCCGUAGUCGAAAGGGAAACAGCCCAGAUCACCAGUUAAGGUCCCAAAAUUCAUGCUAAGUGGAAAAGGAUGUGGAGUUGCGCAGACAACUAGGACGUUGGCUCAGAAGCAGCCAUCAUUCAAAGAGUGCGUAAUAGCUCACUAGUCGAGUGACGCCGCGCCGAAAAUUUACCGGGGCUAAGCAUGAUACCGAAACUGUGGAUGUGCGUUUAUGCACGUGGUAGGAGAGCGUUCUAGCGGCGGUGAAGCAUGACCGAGAGGACAUGUGGAGCUUCUAGAAGUGAGAAUGCCGGUAUGAGUAACGAAAGACAGGUGAGAAUCCUGUCCGCCGCAAGACUAAGGUUUCCUGGGGCAGGCUCGUCCGCCCAGGGUAAGUCGGGACCUAAGGCGAGGCCGAGAGGCGUAGUCGAUGGACAACAGGUUGAAAUUCCUGUACUGCACCGAAUCGUUAUGAGCGAUGGAGGGACGCAGGAGGCUAGCAGCGCGUGGUGCUGGAUACCACGUUCAAGCGUCAAGUCUGAGAGCGAGUCAAAUGCUUGCUCUCAUAAGGACAAGGCGUGAUGAGGAGCGAAAUUAAAGUAGCGAAGGCUGCGACGUCACACUGCCGAGAAAAGCUUCUAGCCAGAAACGGUGCACCCGUACCGCAAACCGACACAGGUAGUCGAGGAGAGUAUCCUCAGGUGAGCGAGAGAACUCUCGUUAAGGAACUCGGCAAAAUGGCCCCGUAACUUCGGGAGAAGGGGCGCUGGUCGCAAGAUCAGCCGCAGUGAAAAGGCCCAAGCAACUGUUUAUCAAAAACACAGGCAUCUGCAAAAUCGUAAGAUGAAGUAUAGGUGCUGACACCUGCCCGGUGCUGGAAGGUUAAGAGGAGAGCUUAGCGCAAGCGAAGGUUUGAAUUGAAGCCCCAGUAAACGGCGGCCGUAACUAUAACGGUCCUAAGGUAGCGAAAUUCCUUGUCGGGUAAGUUCCGACCUGCACGAAAGGUGUAAUGAUUUGGGCACUGUCUCAACGAGAGACUCGGUGAAAUUAUAAUACCCGUGAAGAUGCGGGUUACCCGCGACAGGACGGAAAGACCCCAUGGAGCUUUACUGCAGUUUAAUAUUGGGUAUCUGUCAAGCAUGUACAGGAUAGGUAGGAGCCGGAGAAGAUAGGACGCCAGUCUUAUC